GCCUGGGUGGCUGAGUCAGUUGGGUAUCUGACUUUGGCUCAGGUCAUGAUCUCGUGGUUCGUGGGUUCAAGUCCCACGUCAGGCU
rnacentral:tRNA from 1 species